rnacentral:rRNA from 1 species
CCUACGGGAGGCAGCAGUAGGGAAUCUUCCGCAAUGGACGAAAGUCUGACGGAGCAACGCCGCGUGAGCGAAGAAGGUCUUCGGAUCGUAAAGCUCUGUUGUUAGGGAAGAACAAGUAUCGGAGGAAAUGCCGGUACCUUGACGGUACCUGACGAGAAAGCCACGGCUAACUACGUGCCAGCAGCCGCGGUAAU